ACAGCAGUAGCCGCGGUAAUACGUAGGGUGCGAGCGUUAAUCGGAAUUACUGGGCGUAAAGCGGGCGCAGACGGUUACUUAAGCAGGAUGUGAAAUCCCCGGGCUCAACCUGGGAACUGCGUUCUGAACUGGGUGACUAGAGUGUGUUAGAGGGAGGUAGAAUUCCACGUGUAGCAGUGAAAUGCGUAGAGAUGUGGAGGAAUACCGAUGGCGAAGGCAGCCUCCUGGGAUAACACUGACGUUCAUGCCCGAAAGCGUGGGUAGCAAACAGGAUUAGAUACCCCUGUAGUCCCUGUCUCUUAUAC
rnacentral:rRNA from 1 species